UACGGAGGGUGCGAGCGUUGUCCGGAAUCACUGGGCGUAAAGGGCGCGUAGGUGGCGCGGGAAGUCAACGGUGAAAGUUCGGGGCUCAACCCUGAAUCGGCCGUCGAUACUCCCGUGCUUGAGCACUGUAGAGGCAGAUGGGAUUCCGGGUGUAGCGGUGGAAUGCGUAGAGAGUCCGGAAGAACACCGGUGGCGAAGGCGGUCUGCUGGGCAGUAGCUGACACUGAGGCGCGACAGCGUGGGGAGCAAACAGG
rnacentral:rRNA from 1 species